rnacentral:rRNA from 1 species
UACGUAGGGUGCAAGCGUUGUCCGGAAUUAUUGGGCGUAAAGAGCUCGUAGGCGGUUCGUCGCGUCGGCUGUGAAAACCUGAGGCUCAACCUCAGGCCUGCAGUCGAUACGGGCGGACUUGAGUACUGCAGGGGAGACUGGAAUUCCUGGUGUAGCGGUGAAAUGCGCAGAUAUCAGGAGGAACACCGGUGGCGAAGGCGGGUCUCUGGGCAGUAACUGACGCUGAGGCACGAAAGCGUGGGGAGCAAACAGG